rnacentral:snRNA from 1 species
AGCUUUGCGCAGUGGCAGUAUCGUAGCCAAUGAGGUUUAUCCGAGGCACGAUUAUUGCUAAUUGAAAACUAAUAAUGAAGUCUCACUCACUAGGGCAAAGACAUCUGUUUGACCUUUUCUCCCCAUGGGA